AUGAUUUUUGUUGUGUUUAAUGGUCUUCAUCAGCAGAUAGUUUACUCAGGUGUCAGGGAGAUGAUUUUAGUUGCACCAAAUAAUUCAAAGUGUCCUCUGACUGACUUCUUUCAGACUUCAUCUCAGUUUUCUGGUCUCUGGUUGGAGAAUCAAGGAUCAGAGACCUCCAUCAUGGCCACUGCUGACCAGCUGCUGGACCAGAUAUUCUCCUGGUACGAGCAGAUGGAGCGCCGUGUAGAGAAGCUGACGAGUUUGUUAGAUUGUUUUUCCAGUGACACCAUGAAAGAGACGCAGGACAUAAAAGAGGAGUGCCACAAAAUAGAAAAAGAAAUCCAGAAACUGUUUGAGCAACUGAAGACGGAGAGUUCCUCCACAGACCCGGAUAAAGUGGACCAGCACGCUAUAGCUGAGGUUCUGAGAGCCAUGGCCAGGCGAAGGAAAGUGAAUGAGCAAAUCAUCAUCCACAUGCUCAACCGUGUCCCCCCGUCUAAAACUGGACUCCUUAAAAGAGGAGACAAGGUUGUGGGAGGAGCUGUUGGACUGGCGUGUGAACUUCCUGAGGCGAACGACUAUUGGACAGACCUGAUCGAGAGGAAUCAUGUGACUGAAGCAAUUCUAGAGACCUCCCGGACGCUGAGGAUAAGGUUUGACCACAUCAGGAAGAUAAUUGAAUCUCAAACAGAUCAAAGACAUGAGGAUGAACAAGAAGGUGGAACAGGAAAUGAUCAGCAGGGAGGGGGUGAUCAGGGAGAUAAGGAGACCGAUAGUGACGAUAAACACAGGGAUCCGAAUUAUGAGCUGAGAGAGGACGAUGAGACGAGUGAGGGCCACACAAUAUCAACCUCAAAACUAUAUAUUGAAAACAUCCAGACACCUUCUGGAACAAUAAAAGUGGCACUGCUCAAUGUUCGCUCAAUGAAUAAAAAAGGAGCCCCAAAAAAGAUCUUAGAGCUCAUAACACAAAACAACCUGGACGUCUUCCUCACAACAGAAACAUGGUUACAAGACAAUGCAGACAAAGUCCUCAGGGAGGCUUCGCCACUAAAUUACCUUUACUUUUAUCAGGUGAGGGUUAAUAUGAUACAUGGAGGGGUAGCGAUUCAGUUCUCACAGGAGCUGCACGGUAAAAGGAUUCCUUUUGAGUCCUUAACAGCCUUUGAAUGUGUUGUCACAGUUCUGAAACAUGAUGAGUGGAAACAACCGGUUCCAUUCAUCAAUGUUUAUUUGCGACCGGGGUACGACAAGCCCAAAUUUAAAACCUUCCUGGAUGAGUUUCAAAAUCUCUUGGCACAUUUCAACAACCACAACAGCAUCGUUGUAACUGGAGAUUUCAAUAUCUGGGUCGAUCAGGAAAAGAGGUCCUACACCGAUGAGUUUGAUCAUAUUUUGCCGAUCUACAACCUCGAGCAGCACGUACAGGAGCCCACACACGAUAAAGGUAACACUCUGGAUCUGGUCAUCACCAAAAACGUUGAAAUCUCUGAUCUCAUUGUCAGGAAUGAUGGAAUAUCAGAUCAUUACACCGUAUAUUUCAAUGCAAGGCCAGAGGGAGGAAACUAAGAAAGAAAAGGAUCAAGAUGAACAGGCAAAACAAUUCAAAAAGGAGGGAAGAACAGAAUUACAUUAACUGCAGUUUGUUUAAAGAAUUUAAAUUAAACUUGACUCCGUCAUCAAGAAGCACAACGCUGGUGAUUUUAUUUUCAAAGAUUUAUUGAAAUAAGUCGGGGAAAAGAGAAAGUAAGUCUGAAGAAGGUGAGGGUGUCACAGUCUGUCUUCCUCAUCACCUGUUCACCUCCCAACUACCAUCUCAGUUCCUUUCCACUCUGCCAGUCAGCCACGCCUCCUCAUCAGCCAAUCUGCUCACCUGUACACACAAGCUCAACUGACUACCUGCCUAAGUGUGCUGCAAUUGGGUCCUAAACCGACCGGUUACAGACGGAGGUGUUUGCUGAUGGUUAAUGGACCAAACUUGUAUCGUGCCUUUCUCCUCUUCAUCGUCACACACCGAUGCACAGCAAGUUAGGGUUCAGUAUCUAGCUCAAGGAUACUUCGACGUGCAGCGCUCUGCCUCUGAGCCACAGCCACCUGCUACAUUAACGGAUAAUGGAGUCCAAGCUCUGUCUGCAUCAACUAUCAGUACUUUUUGUCACGUGCGCAGACUUCACCACUGUGUUUGUUAAACUGACAACCCUCUGAAGCUUCAUUCAGACAUGAGUGUUUGAGAAUAUCUGACAAUAGUGUGUAUUGAUAGUAAAUGAACUGUAUUGAACAUGGUAAUGGUAAUAUAAUCCACAGAGUUAUACAGUAAUUAAUAGAAUCACAAAUUCAAUCAGCUGCUCCACUCCUUUAUUUCCUUUAUCACAGCUCUUUAGACAAACUAACAAUAAUAAUAUAAAGUCAUAUAAUGUAUAAUGUACUGCAUUAUAAGGUCAUUGUCAUGGGGAUGCCCCGUGUCUUGUAACUUAAAUGAGACACAAUAUAGAGUGCUUGUCCAGCUCAGCCACUAACAUAGAAUCUAGCCGGCCGGUGUCUGGGGUUCAGUAAUUAGUACAGAUGUUGGGUUGAAAUAUGGUAAAGGGAAAUUGUAUUAUGUUUGAGUUACGUUAGAUCUGGAAGGAAGCCUAAGAAAAUAUUUGGGUUUUAAUGUUUUCCAUUUGAUUAUUUAGUGUGUUUCUCACCUCUACUCUAGAUUGCAC
rnacentral:lncRNA from 15 species